AUUGAACGCUGGCGGCAGGCCUAACACAUGCAAGUCGAGCGGAUGAAGGGAGCUUGCUCCUGGAUUCAGCGGCGGACGGGUGAGUAAUGCCUAGGAAUCUGCCUGGUAGUGGGGGAUAACGUCCGGAAACGGGCGCUAAUACCGCAUACGUCCUGCGGGAGAAAGUGGGGGAUCUUCGGACCUCACGCUAUCAGAUGAGCCUAGGUCGGAUUAGCUAGUUGGUGGGGUAAAGGCCUACCAAGGCGACGAUCCGUAACUGGUCUGAGAGGAUGAUCAGUCACACUGGAACUGAGACACGGUCCAGACUCCUACGGGAGGCAGCAGUGGGGAAUAUUGGACAAUGGGCGAAAGCCUGAUCCAGCCAUGCCGCGUGUGUGAAGAAGGUCUUCGGAUUGUAAAGCACUUUAAGUUGGGAGGAAGGGCAGUAAGUUAAUACCUUGCUGUUUGGACGUUACCAACAGAAUAAGCACCGGCUAACUUCGU
rnacentral:rRNA from 1 species